CUUGACAUCCAGCGAACUUGGCAGAGAUGCCUUGGUGCCUUCGGGAACGCUGAGACAGGUGCUGCAUGGCUGUCGUCAGCUCGUGUUGUGAAAUGUUGGGUUAAGUCCGCAACGAGCGCAACCCUUAUCCUUUGUUGCCAGCGAUUCGGUCGGGAACUCAAAGGAGACUGCCGGUGAUAAACCGGAGGAAGGUGGGGAUGACGUCAAGUCAUCAUGGCCCUUACGAGUAGGGCUACACACGUGCUACAAUGGCGCAUACAAAGAGAAGCGACCUCGCGAGAGCAAGCGGACCUCAUAAAGUGCGUCGUAGUCCGGAUCGGAGUCUGCAACUCGACUCCGUGAAGUCGGAAUCGCUAGUAAUCGUGGACCAGAAUGCCACGGUGAAUACGUUCCCGGGCCUUGUACACACCGCCCGUCACACCAUGGGAGUGGGUUGCAAAAGAAGUAGGUAGCUUAACCCUCGGGAGGGCGCUUACCACUUUGUGAUUCAUGACUGGGGUGAAGUCGUAACAAGGUAGGCGUAGCGAG
rnacentral:rRNA from 1 species